CGCAUCUGUGCAUGCAGCAUAUCAAUAAGCGGAGGAAAAGAAACUAACAAGGAUUCCCUUAGUAACGGCGAGUGAAGCGGGAAGAGCUCAAAUUUGAAAUCUUCAAGGUUUUACCUUGACGAAUUGUAGUUUAAAGAAGUGUUUUCUGUUGAAGUUUUGGUAAAAGUUCUUUGGAAUAGGACAUCAUAGAGGGUGAGAAUCCCGUAUUUGACCAUUAUUUUCAGCUGUGUGAUACACUUUCAAAGAGUCGGAUUGUUUGGGAAUGCAGUCCAAAAUGGGUGGUAAAUUUCAUCUAAAGCUAAAUAUUGGCGAGAGACCGAUAGCGAACAAGUACCGUGAGGGAAAGAUGAAAAGAACUUGAAAAGAGAGUUAAACAGUACGUGAAAUUGUCAAAAGGGAAGCGUUUGACACCAGUGUUGUUUUCUCGAAAAUCAAUUAAAAAGAGUUUGAUUUUGUUGUGUAUUGACCUUAACAGCUUGCAUUUCAAUUUUCUUGCUUUUUUUAAUGCACUUUUCGUUUAACAAGUCAACAUCAGUUUCUUUUGUUGUAAAAAGGUCAUUGGAAGGUGGCUUUCUUUUCGGAGAAAGUGUUUAUAGCCUUUGACUCCUGCAAUCGGAGAGACUGAGGUCUGCAGCGUAGAUCCUUCGGGGUUAGAUACAUUUGUGCUAAGUUAUAGCUUUUUAUAGACAACUUGUUGACUAUGAUUAGUCUUGUAGCUUACUCGCUUAUGCUAUUUUACCUACGCUUAGGAUGUUGACACACGCGCGUGCUCG
rnacentral:rRNA from 1 species